GAAAUGCGUAGAGAUCUGGAGGANUACCGGUGGCGAAGGCGGCCCCCUGGACAAAGACUGACGCUCAGGUGNGAAAGCGUGGGGAGCAAACAGGAUUAGAUNCCUGGUANNCCACNNCNUAAACGAUGUCGACUUGGAGGUUGUGCCCUNGAGGCGUGGCUUCCGGAGCUAACGCGUUAAGUCGACCGCCUGGGGAGUACGGCCGCAAGGUUAAAACUCAAAUGAAUUGACGGGGGCCCGCACAAGCGGUGGAGCAUGUGGUUUAAUUCGAUGCAACGCGAAGAACCUUACCUACUCUUGACAUCCACGGAACUUGCCAGAGAUGGCUUGGUGCCUUCGGGAACCGUGAGACAGGUGCUGCAUGGCUGUCGUCAGCUCGUGUUGUGAAAUGUUGGGUUAAGUCCCGCAACGAGCGCAACCCUUAUCCUUUGUUGCCAGCACUUCGGGUGGGAACUCAAAGGAGACUGCCGGUGAUAAACCGGAGGAAGGUGGGGAUGACGUCAAGUCAUCAUGGCCCUUACGAGUAGGGCUACACACGUGCUACAAUGGCGUAUACAAAGAGAAGCAAACUCGCGAGAGCCAGCGGACCUCAUAAAGUACGUCGUAGUCCGGAUUGGAGUCUGCAACUCGACUCCAUGAAGUCGGAAUCGCUAGUAAUCGUAGAUCAGAAUGCUACGGUGAAUACGUUCCCGGGCCUUGUACACACCGCCCGUCACACCAUGGGAGUGGGUUGCAAAAGAAGUAGGUAGCUUAACCUUCGGGAGGGCGCUUACCACUUUGUGAUUCAUGACUGGGGUG
rnacentral:rRNA from 1 species